UUAAUACUUCCUUCAUUCAAAAAUACUAUUCAUUAAAAUGAACAAGAAGGGAUGUAUCUAGAUGUAUAUUAAUUCUAGAUACAUUCUUUUUUAUUCAUUUUGAUGACAAGUAUUUUUGAACGAAGGGAGUACUUG
rfam:Triticum urartu cultivar G1812 contig676141, whole genome shotgun sequence.